rnacentral:rRNA from 1 species
CCUGUAACCAUGCCGAACACAGAAGUUAAGCUUCUUAGCGCCGAUUGUAGUGAGGGGUUGCCCCUUGUGAGAGUAGGACGCCGCCACGC